rnacentral:tRNA from 1 species
GAGGGUAUAGCUCAGUGGUAGAGCAUGUGCUUAGCAUGCACGAGGUCCUGGGUUCAAUCUCCAGUACCUCCA